AUGUUUCUGUGGUCUCCCAUGUCUGUGGGUCUCAGUGAGGGCCACAAGGUGAGGACCAAGAAUGUGAGCAAGCAUGGCCACUGCUGCCACCGCAGGCACCCCACCAAGCACAGAAAGUUCGUGUGGGACAUGAUGUGAGAGGUGUGUGGCUUUGUUCUAUAUAAGUGAUGCACCUUGGAAUUGUUCAAGGUCUCCAAGAAAAAGUGGACCCUCAAGUUCAUCAAGAAGAGAGCGGGGACACACAUCUGCACCAUAAGAAGUGAGAGGAGCUGGGCAAUAUCUUGACCUCCAGGAAGCGAAUGGCUGCCAAGAAGAA
rnacentral:lncRNA from 1 species